GCACUGCUGAGGAGUUCCACAAUAGGACGAAACGGCCGUUCAGUGC
rfam:Schistosoma mattheei strain Denwood, Zambia genome assembly, scaffold: SMTD_scaffold0013500